CCCUGUGCCCCCUGCUGGAGCGGAGGAGGAAUUGAACCGCCGCCCGCCCGCCCUCCAAGGGUCGAAUCUGGGGUUCCUCGCGCUGGAAAGGCCCUGCGCUUCAGGCCAACCACCUCUGUUUUUUUACCCACGACUGAUUAAUAAGCAGCAUGCGGCAGCCCUAAGAAAAGGGACUUGGCCAAGGUCAUACUGCGAGUGCGUGAGAAAGAAUCCAGAUGCCCUGGUUUCCAGCGUACUCGACCACCCUGUCCCAAUUCAGACACGGAUGUGAUGCCUGGAACUUCAUCAACCAUUUUGUUACACUGAGGAAACCUCAAGCUAUGAAGGGAAAGCUUGAGCUUGGAAAAUAGAGCAGAAAGAUGAAAGCAACCACCAUAACAAUAAUGAACUGCCUACCUCUGGAUUUCUUUUAUGAAAUAGAAAAAUCAUGGGUUUCUUAAUGACAGCCGAACAUAAUUCCUAACUGAUGCAACGUAUAAUACCUUGGGAUACAAGCUCAGGUCAUGAUCUCCUGGUCCUUGGAUCCAG